rnacentral:rRNA from 1 species
AUGCUUGUUCACUCGGAUGUGUGGACAAGUCCGGUGGUGUCGGUUAGUGGUGCAAAGUAUUUUGUGACCUUUAUUGAUUGCCACUCACGUAUGACAUGGAUAUAUUUGAUGCGUCACAAGGAUGAAACUUUCCAAUGCUUCAAGACUUUCUAUGCCUAUGUGAAAAAUCACUUCAAUGUUCAGGUACAAGUGAUAAGAAGUGAUAAUGGCACUGAGUAUGUGAACAAAGUGUUUGGGACUUUCUUACCAGAGCACGAUAUUUUGCAUCAAACCUCAUGUCUGGAUACUCCCCCUCAGAAUGGGGUAGCAGAAAGGAAGAAUCGCCAUAUUCUGGAGGUUGCUCGAUCACCGACGUUUACUAUGAAUGUGCCGAAAUUCUUGUGGGGUGAAGCUGUGAUGGCUACGACACACCUGAUCAAUCGCACAUCAUCGAGAGUACUAGGUAUGAAGUCACCUUUUGAGUUACUUCUGGGAAAGAAUGAUUUUGUGGUUUCUCCCAAGCUGUUCGGUUGUGUCUGCUUUGUCAGGGAUCACAUGCCAUCUAUGGGGAAAUUGGAUCCAUGGGCCGUCAAGUGUAUCUUCACUGGGUACUCUUCUAGGUAG